rnacentral:rRNA from 1 species
AGGGAAUCUUCGGCAAUGGACGGAAGUCUGACCGAGCAACGCCGCGUGAGUGAAGAAGGUUUUCGGAUCGUAAAGCUCUGUUGUAAGAGAAGAACGAGUGUGAGAGUGGAAAGUUCACACUGUGACGGUAUCUUACCAGAAAGGGACGGCUAACUACGUGCCAGCAGCCGCGGUAAUGCGUAGGUCCCGAGCGUUGUCCGGAUUUAUUGGGCGUAAAGCGAGCGCAGGCGGUUAGAUAAGUCUGAAGUUAAAGGCUGUGGCUUAACCAUAGUACGCUUUGGAAACUGUUUAACUUGAGUGCAAGAGGGGAGAGUGGAAUUCCAUGUGUAGCGGUGAAAUGCGUAGAUAUAUGGAGGAACACCGGUGGCGAAAGCGGCUCUCUGGCUUGUAACUGACGCUGAGGCUCGAAAGCGUGGGGAGCAAACAGGAUUAGAUACCCUGGUAGUCCACGCCGUAAACGAUGAGUGCUAGGUGUUAGACCCUUUCCGGGGUUUAGUGCCGUAGCUAACGCAUUAAGCACUCCGCCUGGGGAGUACGACCGCAAGGUUG